CUUUGCCUCAGACUCUUCAGCCCCCAUUACAGCAUACCACUCCCCAAGCACAGGCUCAGAGUCUGAGUCGUCCUGCACAAGUAAGCCAGCCUUUCAGAGGAUUAAUUCCUGCUGGAACACAGCAUAGCAUGAUUGCAACCACAGGAAAAAUGUCUGAAAUGGAACUAAAAGCCUUUGGAAGUGGCAUUGAUAUAAAACCAGGCACACCUCCAAUCGCUGGUAGAAGCACCACACCAACAUCUAGUCCCUUCCGGGCUACUUCUACGAGUCCGAACAGCCAGUCCAGCAAAAUGAACAGCAUUGUCUACCAGAAGCAGUUCCAGUCAGCCCCUGCCACUGUGAGAAUGACACAACCAUUUCCUACACAGUUUGCACCCCAGAAGAGAGCUGUGGGAAGAGGACUCAGCCACAAGACAUUUGGUCCUAGGUGCAAAGCAGAGAGCAGAGGUUCUUCAGUCCACGCAACGGUUCUUCUCUGAACAGCAACAGAGCAAACAGAUAGGAGGAGGCAAAGCCCAGAAAGUGGACAGUGAUUCAAGUAAACCUCCUGAAACACUGACCGACCCUCCUGGGGUCUGUCAGGAAAAAGUAGAAGAAAAGCCACCCCCUGCACCCUCCAUAGCUACCAAACCUGUUAGAACUGGACCAAUCAAACCUCAGGCGAUCAAAACCGAAGAAACAAAAUCUUAAAGGCUAUGGUUUAUUGCAGGGGAUUGGGAGGGGGGCGGGAAAACAUGGAGAAUUAAGUCAGAUAAUGCUGGCAGCCAAAGGGGCAAAAUGGCCUGUGACAUUAUCCUGUUCAGAGCUUGGAGAUGUACAAGGGACAUAGGAGCAAUUUACACUGACACACAGCUGCUGUACCAGUGAAAACGAGGCUUUGCAAGCUUGUACCUACUAUAUAACGUGUGCUUGGUUGAUGGCCAUGCAUCUUCAGUCAGAAUUUAUAUAUAAAUAUAUGCACCCAUUUUUUUGAGUGCAUAUAAUUUAGACCUAAAAAUCCUUAUGAUUAGAUGAAACACCAAAAAUAUAAGCUAAAUAACACAGCAGAGGAAUAGCUCAGCCUGAA
rnacentral:sRNA from 1 species